GUAAUGGUAAUAUACCAAAAAUGGCACAAGGUGGUGUCCAGCAUUCUCUGCUCACUAGCACAAAGGCUCUUACAGUAGUGGGUAGUUGAGUUUUCAUGUUGCUGAACAGAGGACCAGGUAACAAUUGUGCUAGUGGAUUUUUUGGGGCAACAGAUUGCCCAAUUUUGUUGCACAAUAAAGUGCAACCUUAAGUUCAGUUCAUAAGAGAUUUGGAACAAAAAUUGGUCUGGUUCCUUGACAUUCUGCUUCCUGCAACUGGUAUCUUCCAGCUUCAUUCCCCAGUCACUCUCUUAAGAUGACACUUCUAUUUUUUUCAGUUUCUCAACAUCUGGUGAUUUAAAAAAAAAUAAUAAUAAAAAGUCUUGAUGAAAAUCCAUCAGCAUUUUGGUGCACAUUUCUUCUAAUUUAUGGGUGGGACUUUCUCCCAAUUUUGCCUAAUAGACACAUUUUGCAAGCAUUUUUUAAAACCAAUAUAUUGAAUUUUUGUAUGUUAUUCUUACUAAACUAUAUAUUUUUGUGUGUGUGCACAUCUUCCCCUAAUAUUUGCAUUUUUUUUUACACAUCCUUUGGGUAGGAGAAAUGAAUUGCAAAAUUCAAAUUCAGUUCGUGUAUGUACGGAAGGCCAAAUUAGGCAGGUUUGCCUUAAAAUGUGAAUUGAACAAAAUUUCUCUCCAUCCCUAAUAUGAAUGCACCGAGCUAUUUUGAUGUCUGAAAUCAGACCCAAAUUGUUCUCCCUCGCUGUUGAGGACCACCACUUUUCAAAGGACUUGACCCAUUCAGACACCAUUCUCUGCUUUCCUCUAUUCUUUCCUCAGCUCCACCCUGGGCAGAAUCACCUGAAGCAUAUUGCCUCCUCUGCUUCACGGCAAAGCCAGCUCCGGCAAAAAAUGAAUCUUCAAAAGAGUAAGAACAUCUUUUGCAUAAUGUACCCCUGUCCACCGUUCUAUGAAUUCCUUUUGGACGGAGAUUUGAUUGCCACCCCAAACAAUGACAUUUAGAUGGCAACCUAAAAAUGUUUUUAUUUCACUAGGCUUUUGGUGGUUUGCCACAUCUUGCAAAAGAAAUGGCCUACGGUUGACUGUAUCGUUGUUGAUUCAUUGAUGACUCCUAAUUACUGUUUUAAAUACAUUUCUUUCAUUUUAAACAUUGUUCUUAGACUCCCUGAGCUCCAUUAGUGGGAAGAGCAGGGUGAUAAGUACAGUAAAUAAAUAAGUAAGUAUAUAAUGAACAAACUUUAAAAAUUCCACAGUAAUUGGAGAUCCUUGUAGAGCCUGAAGACACAUGUGGCAAAGACCAUGGAAAGAGCAAAGGUUUUCCCCCUUUGGAGGAACGUUUUAUCCCCAACUUCCUUCCAAACCUGCACACUUGCUAAGUAAAAGGUUGUCAGCUAGCUGAAAAUAAAGAACACCUUCCCCUUUAUUGUGGGCAGGCAAUGUUUUAAUUGCAUUUGCAUUGAUGAAAGUGCUGAGAGGAUUCCCUGUCACACAUAAACUUAAACAGAAUGAUGCUUCAUUCCCAGCAAUUUGUGGCUUCAGUGUUCCUGUUAUCCUCAUAGCACACUCUUGUGCACUAAAGCAUAGCCGGUCUUGAAACAUUUGUGUCAUUUUACACCAUUAAACCUUCAAAACACACUCAUUCGGAGUUGCACAGUGACACUCCUCAUCAAAGAAAAGACUUUUUCAACCCAGUGAAUUGUAACUAUUCUACUGAAUAUAUUUACACGGAAAAAAUAAAAUAAAAGCCUAUAUGAAUUUUUAAAUGUCCACUUAUUCAAUUAUUGCCAUAUAUCAAGGGCAGGCUCCUACAUUUCAGAAAGCACAAUGUACAAUGUAUUUUUUUUUCUCCUCUUAGAGAUUUAUUCUCCGAAAAUCAGCCUCAUUUAUUGCAAAUUCUUUCACAUGCCUGGCUGGAAAAGCAUAUCUGCAGGGUGAUGCAUCUAUAUGUCUUUCUAUACAGUCAUUAGGCUGAAAAACAUUUUAGAAGGUAUGCGAAAAUCCUGCAUAAAUGGUAUCUAUUUUCUGCCUAUCAGAUGCUUCUCAGUAAAAUUACACUGCAAUUCAAAACUCAAAUUUAUAUUAGACAUCAAAACUCAACCUGUGAAGCCUUUGCUUCUACUUGUGAGCAAUUACUUACCGGUACACCAUUAUACCAGGCUUCCUCAACCUCGGCCCUCCAGAUGUUUUGAGACUACAAUUCCCAUCAUCCCUGACAACUGGUCCUGCUAGCUAGGGAUCAUGGGAGUUGUAGGCCAAAAACUUCUGGAGGGCUGAGGUUGAGGAAGCCUGCAUUAUACCAAUUCCAUCAAAGUGAGCUGAUGCUUCACCAUGUUUUUGCCCUUUGCUAAGAGCUGCCGUGUAUGACCAGUGAAUGACCAAGUUGCAUGAUGAUGUCACACUGAAGCUCUUUCUUUCAUUGACAGCUAGAGCCUCCACAUCACAAAAGGCCAAAAAUGUAGAGCUGAUAUUCACACAUCCUUGUGUGAUGUCUCAGCUGAUAUCUCAGCCUACAGAAGCUUGUAGCUCCAUUAAGUACUGUGUUUGAGGUUCCCUUUACCUUUGAGGUGAUAAAGCCUUAUCUGUGGUAAUUGAUCUGUGAUGUAUCCCAAUUUGUAUACACUAAUUAUGCGGGGCAUUAUACAACAUCACUUGUUUAGUGAGCUUUUAUUCUGAUUUGUUUGCCAGGAGGUUAUACAACCGCCUUAAGCAGUUGUUGCUACCCCACAUUUUCUGGUGCCUAUUGCCCAUCACUUUCUUUACAGCAAAAAAUCCAUUGUGAGCUGUGCAAGAGUUCCAAAUCCAUUUUCACUGUGCACUUUCCAUUUGCUGGUUUGCCGCUGAAUCCCAUCUGCAAAAUAACAACAGUCUGGAAACAGCCUGGGUCUUAUUUUUUACACAUAGUUUGGAAAACUUCAGAAGGUUCUAGAAAAUUAAGAAACAGGAGCUUGGAACUUUAAUAAAAAAUAAAGCUGGUAAGAACACAUGAUAAAAGCAGUCAGUCUGAUACAGCCAUUGAUACUAAAAGGAGUUUUCCUUUCUUUUCCCAGGCAACGAAGAGAGCAGCUUGAAUGGCAUUUCAUGUUCAUCAUAACAACCACAAUAAUUAAAAAUUGAUGCUGCAACACACAUUGGAAUGUGGAAAACAAACAGGGGCCAGAAUCAGCUGACCUAAGGUGUACCCAGGCUCCCUUGCGUCCCUCGCAAGCAGCUGUAUCAGCACUCCCCAUCCACUGUACCCUUGAAAAGGAGAUGUAUUUCCUUCCCUGCCCCUUCGCCUGGCUGCCCAGAACAGCGGAGGAGCAGCUCAGGGAGUGCACAGAUGGACGGGGAGAGGAGGGAGAAGAUGAGAGAGUGCUAGCUAGAAUGGGCAGAAGAUUAUUUCUUCUGAAAAGGAAUUCUGGAUUUGGAAUACUGUGAUAAAAAUUAAAUAACUGCAAAAGAAGAUUCUCAUUGAUUCAUCAUAAACAGAGAAGAGCCCUUCUAGAUCAAAACCAAAGGACCAUCUAGUCCAGCAGCAUCCUGCUCAUCAUGGUGGCCAACCAGAAAUUUCUUGGAAACCCAAAAGCAGGAUAUGAAGAUGUCUUCACUAUGUGCCAACUGGGGGCAUGAGAGAGAGAGAGCAAUUCACUCCAUCUGUAUCUUGCAGUUAGAGUGAGUAUCCAAGAGAUAAUCAGAUUCAACAGCCCUGGCCAUACUUUUUAAAGGAGGAAGUUUCAGAGACCUCCAAGUUCAAUGCUGGGCAGAUCAUAUUUUGGCAAGUUAUAUUUUAAACAUAUUUGGGUCAGGUCCUGGGUUUUAUACUCCUCAUGUGGCAGGAAGUGAUGGUGGCUGAUCUUAAAAGAAAAUUAUGGGAGCAAAAGCUGUUUUUGAAAACUGCCAUACUGCUGACAGUUACGGUGGACAUUUACUUCAAUCUUGUUAAACAUAUUAAUUGAGCUUCCACCGGAAGCUGUGCUCUAAAGUGGCUUACUGUUUCUUUUAAAAGAAAUAUUUCAUCAAAGACUUAACUCCAUGUAGGCUAUCGUUACCAUUCAAUUUAUAAUUUCAUUUAUCCCAAACGUGCAGAGACUGUCCUUCACACAGCUUAAGGAAGCUUGAAGCAGCAUCUGCAGAGAUAUGUUUAUUGUGAAACUGUAAAAGUCCUGAGCACUGCUCAUUGAGCUCAGACAAACAGCUGAAAAUACAGCCUGCCUUUGCAAACUUCAGUGUAUGACAUGGAGAGCUGGCAGACUGCCUGGUUUCUACUUAAAGGAUUGUCAUUCAGGGAAAAAUAAAUUUCUCUAACUAGACAAAAGUCAAUGUUUUCAUGUUUUACUGCAAUCAGACUGAUACAGCUGAUAAUUUAGUCUCAACACUUAUAAUAUCUGCGGCUAAUCAGUUACCUCAAUCAAUCAUAACUACAGGAUUCCUCUAUUUUUUGAGUCUGUAUAAAUAUGACUAAGAUGUUUAACAUUUCAGAUCCCCCUCCCACUAAUAUUUUAUGACAUUUUAUUGAGCAACAGAGAGCUUUUGCAUGUAUUAGCAGAUCCAUUUGGAAACUGCCUUUUUUAAAUACAAAAUUACAACAAGCCUGAAUGUAAUCAGAAGUGCAAACCUUUCUUUUAACAUUCCAUUCCAUUCCAUUCUAUUUUAAUUUUAUGUAUAUCUUCUAGUCUGUUCACCUGUCAAGGAGAUGUGGAAAUGUGCUGGCAUUCCAGCUGAAGACAUCAUUAUGAGUGAGAAAAUGCUCAAGGCCUUUUUUCAAAGUGGGUGCUGAAAGAGGCGCUUUCCUUCUUUGACUCCAGGGGAUGCUGAUAGCUACCCCGGCAGACAGGUAUUGUGGGGUCAGAGGUUAGCAAUGGUGUGUGUGUGUGUGUGCGCAUGCUUGUGUGCACCCUCAGGAUUUUAUUGGAAGACAGGUAAGCAAAUUUAAUAAAUAUAUUAAUAAGGAUGCACCGCACAAAAGGAAGACAUUGACAACAAAGGAAAAGCAACCUGCAAAGAGUGAAUGAAUUCUGGGCAGCCCAGCGCUUGGCAGAAGUGAUUUUAAUAUCUGACAGGUUGAGUUCCCUAAUCUUUGCUAUUGAUAUUGACGGGAAGCUUCAUAUGGUUUUAGAGAUUUGUAUCUAUUAAGACAUGCUGCGGUGUUCCUACAACAUGGGAACAAGUUUGCUGGAGAUCACUGUUCUUCUUUCUCUGUGAUAAAAAUUGAUAUGAACUGUUUUAAACUGCUAGCAGAUAAUUACUCUGAACACUCAAUAAGGAAAGCUAUAUCUUUAGAGCCUUCCUUUAUCUUAAAAAAAAAAAAAUCCACUCCCCCCCUCUUUUGUUUCUUUGAUUACUUGGAGCCUUGUAAUCAAACUAAGCUUAGUUUCAGGACCCUUGGGGCAGUAUCUCUUAGUUCCCUGUCAAGCUGCGUUGCAAAACAAUCAAUCUUGCUCUUGCACUCUCUUGGCGGAAGUGCCAGGACACGAAGAGUGCAAUGCUUUGCUCUUGCCGUGAAGCCUCAAUGACAAACGUUUUUAUAAGAAGCUGACUGUAUUUAGGGUUAUGAAUAUGCAAUGACUCUCAUUAGUAUUGAAGCACAGGAGCAGGGGCUGACAUCCCCCCGCCACUUUGAGCUGCUGCAGAAUUGUCUAAUGAAUUGUCUUGCUCUUUCCCUUGCACAGGCUUUUUCUGUUGUGGCUCCCAGUUCCAAGGGGAGUUGCCCAGUUUGAGAAUACUAUUGACUGCAGAAAUUAAUUGCCAAGAACUGCUCUUGAUUUUGCUAAACAAUCUUGAGACAGUGUUCAAAUUGUCAAAACAGAAAGCCAUUCAACUCUACACGGGAUAAAAUCAACACGAGGGAGGGGACCUAUGUGCCAAUUAAUGUGGACACACACUUUGUCCAUGUGCACAUAUGUAUCGUACCAAAUGUUGCAUGUGCGUCUCCGAUAACACAUGCAUGAACAUGCCAGGAUGCAAGACUGAAACUGGGUCAAACCAAGUCAUAGAAAUCUGACAUUCUAUUGGUUUGGCACUUUGUCUUCUCAGUAGAACAAAGAGGGAUGACUGAAGGAUCUCAGAAUGAAAGCUAUUCACAUAGCACAAAGCUAUUUUGUGAACCUUUUAGGACUCUUUCUCACACUCCCUUGCUUUCCAUCAGAGCCCCCACCAAACAUUUUGUGGUUCAUGCAUACACCGUCUACCAUGAAUGCGAUGCUGAUAAUAAUGUUUCCAGUAACAGAUUAAGAUAUCCAUCUGGAGGCGUAGUAUAUGAGAUGCUGAUAAACAUGCUUGCCUACAUGUCUCUGCCAGAUAAAUUAAAUUCUGUCCAUGUUAUAGUUCACUCUUUAAAAACAACAACAACACCAUAAAGGGAAUUUGGUGCUCCUUUGCAAAUUGCAAAAGAUAGGAAUGAACGGAAUCUGAUAAGCUCUUUCAAAGAGGCAUAAGUAGGCUGAAAAGAGCUACAUAUAGAUAGCUUCAUACACUUACUUCAUUUAAUUUAUAUUAAAAGCAGCUUCACUGAAAGGAGAAAAAAGUUGUUAAUGUUUGAUCCAUUUUGGGGGACGUUGACCACCUCCACCUGUGUCCAGAUUCAUGUUUCCAUCUUCUGUGGAAUCUCUCUCUAUAGGAGUACAGUGUAAGAAUAAAUGCAGUUCUGACAAAAGUGGCGCAAGUAUCAUACAUCAAACACUUGUUACCUCUCUUGGCCUUAGUGAUUGCACAUGACUAAGAACAAGUCAGUGAUAAAAUCUGAAGAAAGAUGAAACCAAUCUGGGCCUUUCUAAAGACCAUCAAUCACUCUGUGCAACCAUGAUAUUAUUAGCUCAAGUAAGCCUUGUUCUCCCAUUUAAUGGACAUCAUAAACCCCCCAUCCUCUUCCUAUCCUGAGACCAGUGCUACCAUGGGAAAUCAUUUUUAUGGGCAAUAUCUUAGUAGGGAACCAAUCAGAUCUAAUCACAUAACAAGCUACUGAAUUAUUCAACAUUCUCCCUAAAUUUGCAUUCUAGCUCUUCUUUACUGUCAGCCCAUACUUCUAAAAAUAUGUGGAUUUUAUUUUUUAAAAAACAGCCCGCAAUAUUAUAUUAAGAAGUCAAUGCUAUGUGAGGAUUUAAAAAAAAAUAAUAAUCUGUGCAUCUUCUGGUUAUCAUUGGUUUCUACUGAUUUCUACCACAUGUGAAUUGCCAUGUAAGAAUAUUUCAUUCUUGUUUUUUUUGCCUUUCAAAAUUACAUCGCCACUAAAUCCUAACCACUCCCAGCUGUAAAAACAGCAGGCCCAAGGACAGAAAAAGUGAAACAAUGGUUUUGGAAAACAUAAAAUGUUUGACUGUACUAAGCAAAUAAUAACUGGUACAUCUCAUCGAUGUUGUUAUGAACUCUGGAAUUGUAUUAUAUGAAAAUAUUUCAGUUUUAAUUGCAAAUCUGGAUAGAGAUGAUUUGGGGUCUGUAAUUAGCACAUAAAUUCCAGAGUUUGUGACUGCUGUGAAAACACGCAGUAUUUAUGGAAUGAUUAUUUAAAUAUAAUUCAAUGUUUCUUGCUUUCAGCAAAUAUUGCAAAAUCCGAUUUAAUAAAGAGAAAAUGGUUAGUUCAUGGAUUUCUAAUAUCACACCAUCAGCUCAUUCCACCUACUACAGAUUUCAAUCUGUGUUGUUUGGAACUUUGUUUCCAUUGCAAAGUUUCUGUACCGGCAUAAAAAGUAGAAAUGCAUGUCUGUAAAAAGAUUAAGAGUGUGGCAGUGCUGCAAAUGUUGUACAUGUGCAAAGCCAUAACAGGAGUUCAAGGGAUGGGUAUCUGUCAUGCACCCGCCAAUCCCAUAACUAACUGUUUAAAAGAGAACCUCUAUUACUCCAGUCAGAUAAUUGGCUCUCACCCAUCAGUGGCAACUGGUUUUUCAGGGCUACCUGAAACUGCCAGGUACUCUCUGGGAUCAGAGUCUGGAUGAAAGUAGCAUACCGUCAACAUGCUGAGAUAAAGUAGGUCACCCCAUCCUGAAUGUGAUGAGUGGUAUAUCUCUUAUGCCCUCUCCCACACUUCAUUACAUAUUUGUACUUGUGUGUAAAGUUUUGCACACUUUGCACACCUGUCAUGAUUUUCAAGAAAUUAGUUAUGAACUGACACUAGAAUCAGAGCAUUUACUUCAUGGAACAAUGCUUUGAUUGUAUAUUGGAAGUUUUCUUGUUUUUGUUUUAAAUAAAUAAAAGCCAACAUGUACAUUCAGGUCUGAACUAAAUGAUAUGGCUGCUCUUUUCAGAACCAUUGGUUGGAUCCAGACCAAGGCUGCGAUCCUAAAACCGCUUGCCUGGGAGUAAGCCCCAUAGAAUUCAAUGAAAUUUAUUGUACUUAGUUCCCAUUUUAAUUAAUAGGCUGUUUAGCUUUAAUCCAAUUUCAAUGGGAUCAAUGUGCAAUUAAGUUAUUCCUCAUCCAACUCCAUAUUUUUGGGCAACAUGCCUAUUACAUUUUCCCAUAGGCCACCUUCUCUUUUCACAUAUUGGGACAGGUACACGUGUGGGCAUGCUGUCUCUUCUUCACAUAUGUCACUGUAUAAAGAAGUUGGCGAUUUUGCUGCUUCAACUGAGCAGCUGAUUGAUACUUUAUACAUGAUUUCCCCACACAGCAUGAAACAUGCCAGCCAUUUGUAUUUCAUAGCAAAAUGUACACAAUUGUAAAUCUAUCAAUAAAGUAUAAACUACAAAGAAUUCUGAAAGUUUGAAAGCACCAGAUAUAUGCAAGGGUAUGUAAGAUCACCAUCUUUCGGGAGUACCAAAAUUACCGUGUUUUUCGUCUAUAAGAUGCCCCCAUGUAUAAGACAACCCCUUUUUUGGGGGACUCAGAUUUAAGAAAAUAGGGGGAGAUAGCCCAGAGUAUAAGACGCCCCCUAAUUUUUGACAUUAUUUUUAAGG